GCCCGGCUGGCGCAACGGUAGCGCGCAAGACUUCUACCCAAUCCACAUGUGGAUCUUCUCCCCGACCGAGAAUCAGAGGUGUAUCUUGAGGCCGUGGGUUCGAGUCCCACGUCGGGCU